GGGGGUGUAGCUCAGUUGGGAGAGCACCUGCCUUGCACGCAGGAGGCCAUCGGUUCGAAACCGUUCACCUCCACCA
rnacentral:tRNA from 1 species